rnacentral:rRNA from 1 species
UUAAGCAUAUCAAUAAGCGGAGGAAAAGAAACUAACAAGUAUUCCCUCAGUAACGGCGAGCGAAGUGGGAAGAGCUCGAGCCUGAAAUCUCUGGCAGUCACUGUCAGCGAAUUGUGGCCGGGAGAGGCAGCUUAAGCUCUGACUGGCGCUGUCGAAGUUGACCUGGAAAGGCACGUCGUAGAGGGUGAGAGCCCCGUGUGCGACACCGCCGGGCAGAGCUACUACUGUCUUCGGAGAGUCGGGUUGUUUGGGAAUGCAGCCCAAAGUGGGUGGUAAACUCCAUCUAAAGCUAAAUACUGGCACGAGACCGAUAGCAAACAAGUACCAUGAGGGAAAGGUGAAAAGUACUUUGAAAAGAGAGUCAAAAAGACCGCGAAACCGUUAGGAGGGAAACGAAUGCGGCUAAAUUAGCUCUGUUUCAGGCUCAGGAGAUGUUGGCGGCUGUGCCGGUGUCGUUGCAGCUUCGGCGCUACGAUUCGGAUAUGUUGCCAUCUCCUCUGCAUUCCUGUGGAGAGCUGGCCAACGACGGUCGCUCCUGGCUCAGAAGGGCAGUUGGGCAGGUGGCUCUUUGCUCGCAGAGAGAACUUACAGCCAGCCGUCUGGCAGUCUGGGAACGACCGAGGAGAGUUGUGAAUCUUCACACGUGCAGUGCAAGCCCUCCGGGGCCGCGUCGCUUCUGUUCGUUUGGGCAUCGGGCUGUGGACUGCUUGCAGUGUUCAGUGACGACUGUCUGCUCGUGCGGGAGAUCGGCGACGUCUUGCGCUGUAGUUGUUGGUGCUCAAAUGGCUGCAUCCGACCCGUCUU